GCGCAGCAGGCGCGAAAACUUUACAAUGCGGGAAACCGUGAUAAGGGGACACCGAGUGCCAGCGUCAUACGCUGGCUGUCCAGGUGUGUAAAAUACACCUGUUAGCAAGGGCCGGGCAAGACCGGUGCCAGCCGCCGCGGUAACACCGGCGGCCCGAGUGGUGAUCGUGAUUAUUGGGUCUAAAGGGUCCGUAGCCGGUUUGGUCAGUCCUCCGGGAAAUCUGAUAGCUCAACUGUUAGGCUUUCGGGGGAUACUGCCAGACUUGGAACCGGGAGAGGUAAGAGGUACUACAGGGGUAGGAGUGAAAUCUUGUAAUCCCUGUGGGACCACCUGUGGCGAAGGCGUCUUACCAGAACGGGUUCGACGGUGAGGGACGAAAGCUGGGGGCACGAACCGGAUUAGAUACCCGGGUAGUCCCAGCCGUAAACGAUGCUCGCUAGGUGUCAGGCAUGGCGCGACCGUGUCUGGUGCCGCAGGGAAGCCGUGAAGCGAGCCACCUGGGAAGUACGGCCGCAAGGCUGAAACUUAAAGGAAUUGGCGGGGGAGCACAACAACGGGUGGAGCCUGCGGUUUAAUUGGAUUCAACGCCGGG
rnacentral:rRNA from 1 species